GUGUCAGCAGCCGCGGUAAGACAGAGGUGGCGAGCGUUGUUCGGAAUUACUGGGCUUAAAGGGCGAGUAGGCGUCCCGGUAAGUCAGAUGUGGAAUCUUUUCGCUUAACGAAAAAAUUGCAUCUGAAACUAUCGGGAUUGAGUCAGUGAGGGGAGGGCGGAAUUCCUGGUGUAGCGGUGAAAUGCGUAGAUAUCAGGAGGAAGGCCUGUGGCGAAGGCGGCCCUCUGGCACUGUACUGACGCUGAGGCGCGAAAGCGUGGGGAGCAAACAGGAUUAGAUACCCUGGUAGUCCACGCCCUAAACGGUGGGCAUUAGGUGUAGGGCUCGUAAGGGUUCUGUGCCGAAGGGAAACCAUUAAAUGCCCCGCCUGGGGAGUACGGCCGCAAGGUUGAA
rnacentral:rRNA from 1 species